UACGUAGGGCGCGAGCGUUGUCCGGAAUUAUUGGGCGUAAAGAGCUCGUAGGCGGCCUGUCGCGUCCGCUGUGAAAUCCCGGGGCUUAACCCCGGGCCUGCAGUGGAUACGGGCAGGCUGGAGGCAGGCAGGGGAGAACGGAAUUCCCGGUGUAGCGGUGAAAUGCGCAGAGAUCGGGAGGAACACCAGUGGCGAAGGCGGCCUUCUGGACCAAUACUGACGCUCAUGCACGAAAGCGUGGGGAGCAAACAGG
rnacentral:rRNA from 1 species